rnacentral:lncRNA from 1 species
AUGGAUCCAGCAGAAAGCUUUUAUUACAUUAGAGUUUACUUGUGGCAACAUCCGUAUUUAUUAAAAAAAAAAAAAAGAAGAAAAAAAAAAAGGAACGUAAUUACUAAUGUGGUGUAAACAGCACUAUUUUACGGGGAGGUUAAUGUCUGGGGGAAGCUCUGCGGGCGGUGGUGGCUCCAGCCCGGUGCCCUGCGGUGGGGACAGCUCAGCCAGGAAGGGACGGGGACACAGGGGCUGCCACCGCAGUGGUGCUGGGGAUGAGAACAAGCCACCCCAGCUGGAGCAUGGCGAGGAGGGGGCCAGACACCGAUCCCACCUUGUAGGGAUGGCCUGCGGCCACGGGGACCAUGUCCCCAGCCCACGGGGGGACACGGCCGCCCACGAGUGCCAGCGGGGCUCCCUGGGGACGGGAGCAGCGCGGAGCCACUCGGCGUGAAGUGCAGCCGUAAGUGCCUCCCGCGUCACGUGGAGAGGAUAAGUGCAAAAUGGCCCUAUUAUGAUAAUUGUGCGAAAUUAUGAUUGAUGGAGAUUAGCUGCUUAUUUGAGGAAAUGGCAGGCGCACGUGUGGCGUGGCCGGGCUGCAGGGCGGGAGCUGGGCCCAGCAGGCACCGGUGAUGGGGACUUGCGGAGGGGGGCGCAGGAACGGCCCCUGGGGCUCCUCCCGUGGGAUGUCCCGGCACCGCCAUCCCGGAGCUGCUGCAUCCGUGUCCGGUGGCUCUCACCACCUCAUUAAAUACAUCCCCAAUUAGGGGGAGAACCCGUACAAUGGGGAUGGCACGCGGGAACUGUGCUGUGGGGCUGUGCCAGGGGGCUCUGCAAGAGGAGAGGGCAGCGGAGCAGUCCCGACACCCCCACGGCUCCCAGUAUACGGGAGCUCCCAGUAAGGGUGGCUCCCAAUAAAUGUUAUUUUCCAUGAAGCCGAGCAGGGCUCUGUGCUGGCGCUGGGCUCCCAGCCCGUCCCUGCCUGCACGUCCCCGAGCACACCCCUCGGCCUCGUGCGCUGAAGCCAACCUCCCUCUUGAGCCUCAUCCCUCUUCAAAACGACACCAAGAUCAGGAAUUUAGGGAAGAAAAGCAAAAGCCGAAGAGGUGUGGAGGGCUGCGAUGCCAUCGCCUGCCCUGCCGACGGCCGGGCUGUCCAUCCCAGCUGGGGCACGGCUCGGUGCCACCCGGGGGGCGGCGUGGGGACGCCGCAUCGCACCAGGCCGCGGUGGCCGUGCAGGGUGGCAGACGGCUGGGGGGUCCCCAAAGCCGCCCACCCAUCGGCGCUGAGUCCCUCCUCCGCUCUCCCCUUCCCAAUUUCCUGGGCCCCCCUCUCGCGGCAGGCGGAUGCUGGGUAAGAGGUGUGUCUGCGGGAGCCGUGCUCGCCACGCAGCAUCGCUGCGCCGGGGCUGCCGGCGUCGCCUCCCGCUCCUCGGGAAGGGCUCGCCCGGCCGGGAUGGGGAUGCGGGUGGGGACACGGGGACAGACGGGGCCGAGCCUCCCCACGAGGGGCAGCAGGGCCACAACAGGGCCCCCGCACCCUCCACCGAGGGACGAGGACAUGGCAAAAGGAAGGGUCGCCAGCGGGUCCCCCAUGGCCGGUGAUGGCGGCGCCGCCAGAUCCUUUCUCUGCCUUUUUUUUUUUCCCUUUUCUUCCCCCCCUCGUUUGGCUUUUGGCAGCGGUGCUGGGAAGGGCUGGCGAGCGGCAGCAGCCCCCCGCCGCCCCGGCCCCGUGCCAGGGCGGGUGAUGGCAGAGGGGCUCCGCUCAGCUGCGGGAGCGUCCCCGCGCCGCGCUCGCUGCCAAUUUCCCUGCGAGCUGGCACCGCAGGCGGCUCCGGAGGCAGCGGCGGAGAGGCUGGGGAUGGAUUGUGAAAGGGAGCGAGGAGAGAGAAAAAAAAAAAAAAAAAAAUGGACACAUGCCAUCGCUGGAGCGGCGAAGCUGCCAAAAUGCCAGCAGGCAGCGUGGGGCCGAAACCUGCCGGAGGGGAGAGGAGGGUCUGAAGCCCGUCCCGGCGCGGGUGGCGGUGCAUGGAGGACGGGCAGAACGGCGGAGGCGCCGCGUGGCCGAGGCAGGACAGGUGGCGGACGGUGGAGCCGGCAAGGAAAAAGAUCCCCAGCCCCGUGGGCACCGCCUCCUGUGGACCCAGCCCUGCUGGAUGCAGCAGCCGCAGCCCGGCCCCGGAUGCCACCGUGCCGCCAGCCCCGCUGCAGCCCUGGGGUGGGACAUUUCCCUUGUGUCCCCUUGUCUGUCCGUCCCCCAGCCCGGACAGCAGCAGCGGCAGCACCCAGCCGUGCAGAGGACCACGGGACGUGAUGGAGGUGCCACCGGUCUGGUCCUUGCUGGGACGUGCCAACAGCCACCGGUCCCCGAACACGCUGGGACCCGGUGACAGGGACUGGAGCUCCCCUGCCAUGGGCUCAUCGGGUUUCAGCGACCCCAGGAGCAUGUCCGGGCAGAGGGAGAGGCUCAUCCACCUGCCACACAUGGAGCUUUACCAAGCAUGGCUGUCUUGAGACAAGGAUUUGGCCUGGGGACGAUGCCAGCAGGAGCGUGGAGGCUGAGAGCAGCAUCCCCCAGCGGGACCAGCCCGGCUGCUGCCCGAGGGCUGCGCCUGCCCCGUGUCCUGGGGAUGCUCCGGGGUGGCCGCCCCAUCCCCACCUUAUCCAGAAGCUCCUCACGCUCAGCUCCACGGCACCGGGUCCAUCUCGACCCCGUCCAUCCCAGGACGGGGCUGGCAGGCCCUGCAGCCCCGUGAGCCGUGGAGACGGAGGCGAGCAGCGGGAGGAGGCCGGUGGGGCGCGGGGUGCCCGGCCGCGGGCGGCGGGGGCUGCCGGUCACUGCCAGGUUACAUCUGCCGGGGCACGCAAGAGUGACUCCAGAUGCAUUAGAAGUGCCGUGCUCGAAUUUCAAUUUCAUCGUCUCACAAUCAUUUUCAGGCUCCUCUUAGUGCCACAUUAACGAAGCCUGCUCGUUUGAAUGCAUAAUUAGCCCGAGCAUUCUACCUCGCUAAUUUCGAAGCAGGAGCAGAGAGUGGGGGGGGGUGGG